rnacentral:lncRNA from 1 species
UUUUUUGCACUUUCAUGUUCUUUACUAAGACACACUCACUCUUUGCUUUGAUAACGCUGUUUCCCAUGAAGACCUUCACACCCUUGGUCUGGUCUCUCUCACAGGGUCGUUCUCAGGGCAACACCUGGCUCUCCACCAGCUGCCCUGAGGCUCUGAGGCCCAGCCGUUCAUUCACGGAGUACAAAGAUCCGCCGUCGGAUCAGAGGCGCGCACGGCGGUGCUUAAAGCGGACGUAUGGGCGUAACCCUCACGGCUCCCAACGCGGACACGCCGAGCCGCCUCUCGGGGGACAACAGUAGCCCUAGCAACAGCAGUGGUGCCGCUGGUUUCUCCCCUCAUUUUUGCAUUCUCUCUCUGUCACCGUUUGCUUAUGAAGACAAAUGACACUGAACUGUUGUGUUGCUUUCUCUUUAAAUGGUUUCAAAAUCAUUAUACUGGGUUUACUGAGAUUGAAAAGUUUACAGUGCCUGUGCUGCGGUAGCAUUAUGAAAUCAACCCUCACAGACGUUCAGUACAGAGAAUCCAGCCACCGGGGUAAUAAAUUUGGUGUCAGUUCCUGUUUUUCACAAUUACCCAAACACUGGCACAUGCCAUGCGAGCGGUGCCAAAGAGAUGCUGACGAACGCCAGCUGAUUUUCAGACUCUCACACCAUAAAAAAGAUGUCCUGGGUACCGGCAUCCACUCAGCCGCACUCCACCGUGCACAUUUAUGCCAAAACACCCUUUCACAUUAAAGGCUGCCUGUUUUUAACAAGCCCUUCGUUAUUUUAGCUGUGGGGGGACAAAGUCGGCAUACACUGUACAUGUAUUACGUGGUUUGUGAAUCAAGUGAUGGGCAAGCGCUUUCAUCAGCAUCCAGAUCGCUGUGAAAGUCUGCAUGCCCGCUCAGAUGAAACCCCUCAGCUCAGUGAAGAUGUUCCAAACGGGUAAUUAAAGGCAACGUUCUGCAGAUAGCUGUCAUGUCCUUGACGGAUCACUGCAGCGCGGUCAGAGCGGCUCUUUUGUGAGGGUCAGCGCUGGGGAACGUCCCGCGGAGCAGCUUCAGGAUGCACUUACAGAGGACGUGUGCGGCUCUGGCCGGCGGCAGACGAGCAGCGCGAGCCAUUUCUGCUGCAACCUGCGGUUUCUUAGGAAGAGGUGUUUACACGUCCUUGGCAUCAGUCACGCAGCGGCGCUCGGACGGAAUUACCGCAGUGUUUCUGCACAGCCUUCAAGAGUCUGUGGAAUUUACACUCACUACCGUGUUUAUCCUGGGAAGAGCUGUCCAUUACUCACGGAGUCUGUGAACUAACGUUGCCUUUUCACGCUAAAACAAAUAAAAAUACAACGGCCCUUAUCCUGAUAUGAACC